AUACUGUAGCAAACAGACAUAGAAGUUAGAAACCAUGUACCAAUAUGCAUGUGCAUGUGCGUGUGCGUGUGUAAAAGCAAGUCCUCUAGUUUAAACAAAAUGACAUCAUUCACAUGUGUAGGAAAGCAUAAAUGGAGAAUUUAGUUUCACCAUUAUACACCUAACAUUAAGAAGAGCAGUCGAAUGCAAAUAGAAAGAAAUCAAGUGCAAUUACUGUGAGUGCUUCAGCAACUAGUAAAAUAGAAAGGUUGUGACCUUUCUCACAGGCAUCAGAAUUUACAAGCUAUCCAGAAGAAAAUGAUUAUUAGAACAGCUCCUCAGCAGAGAAGAACCAAACUAAUCAAUGACAGAACAACAGCUGCAUUAAACCAUCUGCAUCAUAUGGCCAGUGCCAAGUGAUACGAGGGAAAUGUGUAACACCUAGUGUACAAUCUUUACUUUGGAAAAGAAUCUACGUCUCCCUCAAGCUGCAGACAUUUAACUCUUUAAAGACAGGUGAAUUCCUCUCCCACAAUAUAAGCACCCUAUAACAAAUUCCACUUCUAAGAAUAAGUAGCAAACAUAUCUGAAAGCUUUAACUACCCAAAAAACUGUGACCUUUUCCCCAAACUACACUAAGGGUGCGUUUGGGAUUGAGGUUGGGCAGCUGUAGCUUAAAAGCUACAGCACUAAAGUGUUUGGUAAACACUAACUGCUGUAGCUUUUAAGCUAUGUUGAUAUAAUUUUUCACUUGUAUAAUAUAAAAUUUAUUAUAUCUUUAAUAAUUUUGAUAAAAUUAUUAUUUAAAAUUUAUAUUUAUUAUAUAUUAUUAACUUUUAUUUCAUAAUUACAGCUUUUUUUUCACAGCAGCUGUAGCUUAAAAGCUACAGCACCUCAAUCCCAAACGCACCCUAAAGCUCUUCAUGAUAUUAACUCUAAAAACAUAGACCAUGGACAAAUCACACACCUACACUUUUUAUCGGCACUUUGUUGUAUGUAUAAUUGCCUAAUCACUAAGCAGCCUAACAUUCAAAUGUAGAAGCCAUCAAUGGCCACCAACGUUAAGUUAGCACUGCUAGUCUAAAUAAUGUCAGCAACAAAAAUUCCGUGAAUUGUCUGCAAUCAGUCCACAAUAAAUUCAUGCGAGCAGGAACUGACUUAUCCCCGCAUACCCCUUAGUCCUCAGUCUUUACUUUCAGCCUAAUCAAUUCCUUCUGAAAACAGUUUUAAAUGUAGAUACCACCCAGUCACUAACAAAUACAUACACAUCAAGAACAUGUUUGCAAACCUAUAGUCAGGCCGGCAUAGAGUUGCCAGCAAUGUCUGUAGCGUCAACAAACAAUUCACCAGAGCCUAAAGUUGUACCAGGGGUUUUCAGUCUAUUUUCUUUAAUGGUGCAUUCACAAUAAUGGAAAUUUGUCAAUAACAACCGAUAACAUGGACUCGCUGUCGCAUUAUAAUUUGGCUAACCAUCAGUCUAUCACCAUGCCACCAGACUGAAGUUCUUAUACCAUAUCCAAAAUAAAACAAUCCCAAUCAAUUCAGUAAAGUAAAACAAAAAACAAAAAAAGUGAAUUUUAAUAUGACUUCGCCAAGCUUAAACACAAAUGCAUAAAAAAGGGAUUAAAAAAAAAGAGGCUAAUAAACAUUUACCUG
rnacentral:lncRNA from 1 species